ensembl:rRNA 5S_rRNA 5S ribosomal RNA
GGUUAUGGCCAUACCACCCCGAAUGGACCCAAUCUUGUCUGAUCUCAGAAGCUAAGGAGGGUUGGGCCUGGUUAGUACUUGGAUGGCAGAUAGUGUAGGUGAAUUU